rnacentral:rRNA from 1 species
CAGGCUGAAACCCGCCUGUAUGAAGUUGGAAUCGCUAGUAAUCGCGGAUCAGCAUGCCGCGGUGAAUACGUUCCCGGGCCUUGUACACACCGCCCGUCACACCAUGAGAGUCGGGAACACCCGAAGUCCGUAGCCUAACCGCAAGGGGGGCGCGGCCGAAGGUGGGUUCGAUAAUUGGGGUGAAGUCGUAACAAGGUAAC